rnacentral:misc_RNA from 1 species
AAAAAACUUUGCAAUUUUAUAAGGUUAUUUUUAAUUUUGGUCCACAAGUGUCCAUGUUCACAGUUUUAUUGAGACAAAGAUAAGUUUCUGUUCAUGUGCAUAGUAGUGUUGAAGGAACUUGAUGAGUAAAUGUUCCUGCUGCUUUGCAGGAUUCUAGGUAGAAUUACUUAUUACUUUCUUCAUCACUUUUGAUGCAUUGUUUAAUUGUUUCUGGGAUAUGUUUUUUAGGACUAAGGCGGAGCCUACAAUUUAUUAUUUGCCUAACAAAGCAUUGGAUGAAGAUGCAACAUUGCUUGAGCAUCGCAAAGAA